rnacentral:rRNA from 1 species
GUGAGACAGGUGCUGCAUGGCUGUCGUCAGCUCGUGUUGUGAAAUGUUGGGUUAAGUCCCGCAACGAGCGCAACCCUUAUCCUUUGUUGCCAGCGAUUAGGUCGGGAACUCAAAGGAGACUGCCAGUGAUAAACUGGAGGAAGGUGGGGAUGACGUCAAGUCAUCAUGGCCCUUACGACCAGGGCUACACACGUGCUACAAGGGCGCAUACAAAUAGAAGCGACCUCGC